rnacentral:lncRNA from 1 species
CAUGGGUUCAGCCCAUCACUCCAGCACCGCUGCUCCGCACGUGGCUGGCAGGGCCCCAGGCAGCCACCAAGCUGGGCCCAGUCCUACGCGGUGCCAUGGCCGAGCCGCUCGCUGCACCUGCGCUCCGCGGUCAGGGAACCCCCGUUACGGUGAGGCGCGGUCCCGGCCGACCCGGCGGGUAUCGCUGACAGCCGCGGCGCCGCUCCCGGAGGCGGCCGAUCCGCGCCGCGCUGCGCGCUGACCCCGCG